CCUACGGGCGGCUGCAGUGGGGAAUAUUGGACAAUGGGCGAAAGCCUGAUCCAGCCAUGCCGCGUGUGUGAAGAAGGCCUUCGGGUUGUAAAGCACUUUCAGUGGGGAAGAAAGCCUUGGGGCUAAUACCCUCGAGGAAGGACAUCACCCACAGAAGAAGCACCGGCUAACUCCGUGCCAGCAGCCGCGGUAAUACGGAGGGUGCGAGCGUUAAUCGGAAUUAAUGGGCGUAAAGCGCGCGUAGGCGGUCUGGUAAGCCGGUUGUGAAAGCCCCGGGCUCAACCUGGGAACGGCAUCCGGAACUGUCAGGCUAGAGUGCAGGAGAGGAAGGUAGAAUUCCCGGUGUAGCGGUGAAAUGCGUAGAGAUCGGGAGGAAUACCAGUGGCGAAGGCGGCCUUCUGGACUGACACUGACGCUGAGGUGCGAAAGCGUGGGUAGCAAACAGGAUUAGAUACCCCAGUAGUC
rnacentral:rRNA from 1 species